AACGAACGCUGGCGGCAGGCCUAACACAUGCAAGUCGAGCGCACCCUUCGGGGCGAGCGGCGGACGGGUUAGUAACGCGUGGGAACGUACCCUUUUCUAUGGAAUAGCCUCGGGAAACUGAGAGUAAUACCAUAUAAGCCCUUCGGGGAAAGAUUUAUCGGGAAGGAUCGGCCCGCGUUAGAUUAGAUAGUUGGUGGGGUAAUGGCCUACCAAGUCUACGAUCUAUAGCUGGUUUUAGAGGAUGAUCAGCAACACUGGGACUGAGACACGGCCCAGACUCCUACGGGAGGCAGCAGUGGGGAAUCUUAGACAAUGGGCGCAAGCCUGAUCUAGCCAUGCCGCGUGUGUGAUGAAGGUCUUAGGAUCGUAAAGCACUUUCGCCAGGGAUGAUAAUGACAGUACCUGGUAAGGAAACCCGGCUAACUCCGUG
rnacentral:rRNA from 1 species